ensembl:lncRNA
CCCCCCCCCCCCCCCCACACCCUCUAGCAGAUUAUUACAUGAAGGAACCUUUUAAAAAAACAAAAAACAAGCGCGUCAAUGCUCACAGGUGUACACACGGGUGAUCACACCCACAAACUACACCCUUUUUGGCUCCUACCUCAAAGCACACUGUGUUCUGUUGAUCUUAUGUGCUGCACAAUAAUGUUUAACAUUUAGUAUUUACUGUCAUAUUCCCAUAUAUCAUUGUGAUGUUGUUUAUUCUAUUACUCUUGUUCUCUUCUGCUUGCUUUCUUUUUUCUUUCUCAGCAGGUGAUCCAGGUGAUUGAUAUAUGCAUUUUUUUUUCUCUGCCCGUUCUGUUGGUUUUUGUCUUUUGCCCUUCUCCCCCGUCCCUCUUCUCAGCUGUUUCUCUUUCCCUCUUUCUUUCUCCCCUUCUUUCCCCCAGUCAAGUCUGUCCCGUAUUCAGUAAGUGAAAAUAAAAUAAACAAUAAAAGGUGAAUCAAAUGGACCAUUAAAAAAAAAAAAAAAAAAAGACUUCCAUUUGACUCUUUAAAUUUUAAUAAAAAUAAAAUAUAUAUUUUCUUUAAAAAAAAAAAUCUUAAAAUGUUAUUCAACAAAAUGUGCAGCAAUUUAAUGUGUUUAGUCUUUUUAGGUGAUAGCCUGUGGGACCCAGGUAGACCGUAUACCUGCAUCUCUACCGACUUGCAUUGCAGUGUAUCUGCACUCCAGCUUCUUCUGUUUUAAAUUAAUAAAACCAAACAGGUUAAUCCUAAAUGCAGCAUGUUUUUACUUUACAAGUUCAUAAGCAUUUUCCCUUUCCCCUGGUCAAAAAUAUGUAUAAGAAAAUUGGCCUAAUAUAAUCUUAUUUAUAAACAUACCUGUCUCAUGAUUAAUUGUAAAGAAAAAAAAAAAAGAAAAAAAAAAGAAAGAAUUGUUCAGUUGUUUUUCUUAAAUAAUCAAAAGAACCAGAUUUUAAAAUUCAUGAUCAUUACCACAGAGUAGAGAUUACGAUAAAUACAAACACUGUGAUGUGUGUGUUUCACUACUCCCUCUCUCUUUUUUUUCUCCUUGCCUUUCCCUGUAUCUACAGGUGCCCGGAAACUCCUGCUGGGAAGGUCUCUGCUGAAGUAGCUCACUGUAUAUACCGUAAUACAGAUUUAAAGUUGGUUGUGUCAACAAACAGGUGGGAGCAUCAGAAAACGGCUCAGCCACUUGAGCUGGAUAAAAUAAAGUGGGAUCAGCAGGCUCCAUUUCCACAGGAAGCUGAGAUGUAUGCAGUAAAGAGGCGUGUUCUCUGCUGCGGUCAACUGGGGAGCAGCCUCGGAGCUGGGGGAGCUGGGGGAAACCAACAGACUGACUACACUGAUUAAGAAGGUUGGCUCUGUGACUGGCUGUAGACUCAACACUUUUAAAGCUGUGAUGUGGAGGAGGUCACUGAGCAAACUGUUACCCUUCAUGGAUAAUUGUGACUAUCCUAUGCUUCACUUACUUGAUAGGCAGCAGAGCAGUUUAUACGGACAGACAAAAAGUCCUUUAUACCUCUUGCUGUUCCCC